UCCGUAGGGUGCAAGCGUUAAUCGGAAUUACUGGGCGUAAAGCGUGCGCAGGCGGCUUUGCAAGACAGAUGUGAAAUCCCCGGGCUCAACCUGGGAACUGCAUUUGUGACUGCAUGGCUGGAGUGCGGCAGAGGGGGAUGGAAUUCCGCGUGUAGCAGUGAAAUGCGUAGAUAUGCGGAGGAACACCGAUGGCGAAGGCAAUCCCCUGGGCCUGCACUGACGCUCAUGCACGAAAGCGUGGGGAGCAAACAGG
rnacentral:rRNA from 1 species